CCCUAUGGGGUGCAGCAGGUUUUGGAACAAGGUUUUCUUGCUGGCCUGCUCCACCAGGUCGCCCAGGUACAUCACGCCUACCUCGUCCGAGAUGUGCUCCACGACCGACAGGUCGUGGGAAAUAAACAAGUAAGCCAUGCCGUGGGAUUUCUGUAAAUCCUUGAGCAGGUUGAUAAUCUGCGCCUGGAUGGAAACAUCCAAGGCAGAGACGGGUUCAUCGCAAACCACGAAAUCGGGGUUCAGCGCGAGGGCGCGGGCUAUGCAAAUGCGUUGGCGCUGACCGCCUGAGAAUUCAUGCGGGUAGCGGUCCUGGUGGUAAGGCUGCAGACCGCAGGAGCGCAUGAUGUCAUCAAGAUAAUCUUCAAAGUCGUUUUCGGGAACAAUAUUGUGUUCGCGCACCGCUUCGCCGAUGAUUUCACUCACGGGCAUACGCGGGGAGAGC
rnacentral:rRNA from 1 species